rnacentral:tRNA from 1 species
UGGAAACGCUAUGGAGCCUCUACGUUUCGGUUCUCUUGGAACAAGACGGAAGAGAGUCUCUCUUACCGUCGCGCAUACCUAAAGCGGGUCUGCCGCCUUCGUUUCUCUUUCUUCGCCGAAUGACUUUGACUUGCGCUCGCGCGCCGCAUCGCACCCUUGAUUAUCAUGGGCGGGUGCUGGCGCUCCGCGAGGGCGCGGCACAAGCCGCGACGGCCGGUCGGCCUUGCGAGACUUGCGUCUCGGUGGCGAGAGCCUAUUUAAGGCGCAGUGUCUAAGGGCUUGUAGCUCAGUUGGUUAGAGCGCGCGCUUGAUAAGCGUGAGGUCGGAGGUUCAAGUCCUCCCAGGCCCACCACUUCCUAUUCUUAUAGGAAGGUUAUCAGGGGCCGUAGCUCAGCUGGGAGAGCGCCUGCUUUGCAAGCAGGAUGUCGUCGGUUCGAUCCCGUCCGGCUCCACCAACCAUCUUCUGCGAAGAUGGGGCGUGUCGAGUAGAGACGGUGAGAAAAAGUCAUUCGAAAAAGAGUUUGCGUCGAGCCCUGUGCUCUGCGCCUGUUCUGUUUGACAUCGUAAAGAGAAGAUUUGUUCGAACUUCAUGAGCCGCAAGGUCUCAUGAUUUGUCGCAAGGGACGCUCAAUCCCUUGCUUAUGAUGGGUUUGCCUAACCGCGCCCUCGAACGGAUCUCGAGAAGCUGGUCUUUUUGUGCCAAUUCCAUUGAAGCAGGUCCCGCACAGGAUCUGGUUCGAGGCGACGAUCCCUGCGGGAUCGCGCUUAGCCAAUCCCGCAAGGGGUUUGGCUUGAACGACGAUCCCUUCGGGAUCGCGUGAUGGGUAUUGGCAAUGAGAACGAUCAAGUGUCUUAAGGGCAAUUGGUGGAUGCCU